rnacentral:rRNA from 1 species
UACGUAGGGUGCGAGCGUUAAUCGGAAUUACUGGGCGUAAAGCGCACGUAGGCGGCUCUUUAAGUCGGGGGUGAAAUCCUGGAGCUCAACUCCAGAACUGCCUUCGAUACUGAAGAGCUUGAGUCCGGGAGAGGUGAGUGGAACUGCGAGUGUAGAGGUGAAAUUCGUAGAUAUUCGCAAGAACACCAGUGGCGAAGGCGGCUCACUGGCCCGGUACUGACGCUGAGGUGCGAAAGCGUGGGGAGCAAACAGG